UCAGGCGCUCUCCCCGCACGUACCUCUGGGGGAGAGUUGGUCCUCACCGCCCCGCCUGGCCGGCCACCGCCGGUGCCCCCUCUCGGGGAAUGGUUGCUCCCAGCUCCCGGCCGUAACGUCCCGCUCCUCCUCCCGCCGGUGCCCGGCUCGGAUGCUGCCAGCCGGGAGAGCCCCGCCGCGCUGUCCGUGAGGCGCAGCACGCUAUCGGCGGGGUCCCGCGGCACCCCUGCGUCGCCUGGGAGGACUGGAGCGCCGACAGUCCAUCAUCUGUGCAGGUCGUUUCGCAUGUACGGCCAGGUCUCUUCGGAGCCGGUUGAGGUUAAAACGGGAUCUUCUGCUUGCAGUGGUACCCAGGGGAGGCUAAAAUGUAGAGCAAGUUAAAUCCCUGGAGAUGCAAGUCAGGUAUCUUCCCGUGCUUUCUGUGCUUAGUUGAAAGCUCGUGGUCUGUGGAAUCUUUUGAAUUUCUGCUGUUGAAACCACACAUAAUU